rnacentral:rRNA from 1 species
CAAUAGCGUAUAUUAAAGCUGUUGCGAUUAAAAAGCUCGUAGUUGGAUCUCGGGCAUGGGCGCGCGGUCCGCCUCGCGGCGGUCACUGCGCGGCGAGGGGGGGAGCGGCUGGGUGGUCGCCCCCUUUCCUCCUCCCAUCCUACGCUUCCCGGUUGUUCAGCCCAUGGUGCUCUUGACUGAGCGUUUUGGGUGGCCGGAACGUUUACUUUGAAGAAAUUAGAGUGUUCAAAGCAGGCACGUCGCCUGAAUAAUGGUGCAUGGAAUAAUGGAAUAGGACCUCGGUCUUAUUUUGCUGGUUUACCUGACUGCGAGGUAAUGAUUAAGAGGGACAGACGGGGGCAUCCGUAUUGCGGUGUUAGAGGUGAAAUUCUUGGAUCAUCGCAAGACGAACGACUGCGAAAGCAUUUGCCAAGCAUGUUUUCAUUAG